GUUUACGCGCCUGCUUCUGCCUACCACCGCGCAGUCAGAUACUUAGAUACUUGUAUGCUCAGUCAGAUUAUAUGCAACGCAGGACACGCUAGAUAAUAUAUAGUAAUAUAAUCAACCAUGUGUAGUUAACUAGUGAUUGUGAUUGAUUGUUUUUUAUAAGAUAAGUUUAAUGCUAGCUAGCAACUUACCCUGGCUUACUGCAUUCGUGUAACAGGCCGUCUCCUUGUGGAGUGAACCGAGAGAGAGGCAGGUCGUUAUUGCGUUGGACUAGUUAACUGUAAGGUUGCAAGAUUGGAUCCCCCGAGCUGACAAGGUGAAAAUCUGUCAUUCUGCCCCUGAACGAGGCAGUUAAACGGCCUAGGAACGGUGGGUUAAUUUAUUAAUUCCCAGCUGCAGCAAAAUGACCCAGCAUCUGUCGUGUCAACUGGCCAGCAACAGGACAAAUCAAUCAGCCAAAGAGUCUGGCCGUCUGUGUUUAGACUUCCAGAAUAUCCAGCCAUAUUAAAAGAAAAACUUGAAAAAAAAGAUAUUGUUAGAUAUUACUGCAUUGUCAGAACUAGAAGCACAAGCAUUUCGCUACACUCGCAUUAACAUCUGCUAAUCAUGUGUAUGUAACCAAUAACAUUUGAUUCGAAGUGGACGAAAAGUCUGAUAGAAAGAAAUUGUAAAAAAAAAAAACGAAUGUAACAUAGCCAAGUACUGUCAUCUGAAUUGAAGAUAUGUAGUUGAUGCAUUAUAAAGAAAUUGACUUUCAGAAUUUCUCAGAGAUGAGAAGCAAAUUCGGUAUGGAUGUGGACAGAAACGUUCUGUCCGAAUUUGGCAUAGUUGCCAACAAAAUCAUUGCAGAAACGGAGAGGAAGGGUAUGGCCUUGGAGUUGCUGAAUCUCUACAAGACUGCACUUCUUUCACACACGGAGGAGGCUCAAAGGUCUGAAGAUCACUGCAGCCAUUUUACUCUUCCCUUACCCCUUCAAAGAAUAUCCAAGUGGACUGUAUGUCACAGACAUGUGUGUAAAGUUCCCAUCACCUACCAUAAGAAUAGAGGGGAAUCAAUUUGCGGAUGAGAGCCACAUCCAACUCUUCCUGGAUGUAGAAGAGUUACUCACUGAAGAGCUGGAGUACAUCUCCAUGGGAUUGGGAGUGGCAAUGGGGGUCCAUUUCCUUUUUAAUAUUGAGUAUGCAGCAUCAGUGAAAAGCACUAUGCUGCUAAUUCUGAAAUGUGUUGUGGGAAUUGAUGAGGGAGGUAAAUUACCAACAAAUGCACGAAUGGCAAACUUUUUGCUGUAGAGAGGGAUAAGAGAGACCAGAGAUUUCUGUGAUACCUGCGACUUUCAAAGUUAAUCAAAUUAAUUUGUGACUUUACAAGUUUGCCACUCAAUGUUAUUAUUAUUGUUAUUAAUAAUAGAAUACUGUAGCAACUUGGACAAGGUAUGCCCAUAUGCAAUUCAAUAUUACUUUCCUUUACUUUAAACCUAAUAAAUAAAAGGUGUACAAUCGGUACAAAUACGGUAAAGCUAUACAGCCCACUCAUCCUGUGGUAGAGUUGCAUUGAACAGGCACAACUCUGGGUGAUGACAUCACUCAAAGCAGAAAAGUCACGGUCAAGGCCAAUGCCAAAAAUAACCAUAAACACAUGAAUAGUAAUCAUACUAUACUGCAGGUAAGUACAAUCACAUAUUCAAUGUAAUAAUUUUGUGUCCACACUAUAACAAAUACAUUGGACAUAAAAGGAACCUUAACACCCUAAAAUGUUAUUUGUGGAACCUUUUGAAAUGUUGCAAUCUGAGGAACCCCUAAAUGUGCCUCCAGGAACCUUCUCUUUUUAGAGUACAUACUUACAUUUUACAUUUACCUUUCUUUUUUUAAAGACUGUCAAGCUGUCCUCAAUUGGGGAACCUCUAUCUGGGACAAUGGCCUCAGGAUUAUGGAGCAGUGUGUUUUAUAAACAAAACUUCACCAUUUAAAGAGAAGUAAAAACUUGUCAUUGUCCAGCUACUGUCUAAUUUUGAUAUCUUCUUUCUUAAAAUGUUUCAGAUUGAUGACCAAUAAAUGUGUCCCACUUCAAUAUGAAGGGACAGAGGAGCAAAUA